rnacentral:rRNA from 1 species
UGAGUACGAGACGCUACGGCGUCGAACAGUGUAUGUCAGACUUCCAAGAAAAGCUCGCUAUGUCAUAAACAAAAAUGCCUGUACCAUAACCGACACAGGUGGGUAGGUAGAGUAUACUAAGGGGCGCGAGAUAACUCUCUCUAAGGAACUCGGCAAAAUGACUCCGUAACUUCGGGAGAAGGAGUGCCUUCCUAGCGAAGGUUGCAAUAACAAGAUCCAAGCAACUGUUUACCAAAAACACAGGUCUCCGCGAAGUCGUAAGACGAUGUAUGGGGGCUGACGCCUGCCCAGUGCCAGAAGGUUAAAGAAGUCGGUUAGCAUUUGCGAAGCUGGUAACUGAAGCCCUGGUGAACGGCGGCCGUAACAAUAACGGUCCUAAGGUAGCGAAAUUCCUUGUCGGGUAAGUUCCGACCCGCACGAAAGGCGUAAUGAUUUGGAUACUGUCUCGGAGAGGGGCUCGGUGAAAUAGACUUGUCUGUGAAGAUGCGGACUACCUGCACCUGGACAGAAAGACCCUAUGAAGCUUUACUGUAACUUGACAUUGAAAUUGGACUUUAUUUGCGCAGUAUAGGUGGGGCGUUGAGCAUUUUCUUGCGGGAAGAUGGGAGCCAUCAGUGAGAUACCACUCUUGUAAUGUUAGAUUUCUAACUUUGGAUCAUUAUCUGGUCAAAGAACAGUGUCAGGCGGGCAGUUUGACUGGGGCGGUCGCCUCCUAAACGGUAACGGAGGCGUACAAAGGUUUCCUCUGAACGGGUAGAAAUCGUAUCUAGAGUGUAAAGGCAUAAGGAAGCUUGACUGUGAGACCUACAAGUCGAGCAGGGACGAAAGUCGGUCUUAGUGAUCUGACGGUGCUGAGUGGAAAGGCCGUCACUCAACGGAUAAAAGUUACUCUAAGGAUAACAGGCUGAUCUCCCCCAAGAGUUCACAUCGACGGGGAGGUUUGGCACCUCGAUGUCGGCUCAUCGCAUCCUGGGGCGGUAGUACGUCCCAAGGGUUGGGCUGUUCGCCCAUGAAAGCGGUACGCGAGCUGGGUUCAGAACGUCGUGAGACAGUUCGGUCCAUAUCCGGUGUAGGCGUUAGAAUAUUGAGAGGAGCCUUCUUUAGUACGAGAGGACCGAGAAGGACAUACCUCUGGUGUACCAGUUAUCGUGCCAACGGUAAACGCUGGGUAGCUAUGUAUGGAGAGGAUAACCGCUGAAAGCAUCUAAGUGGGAAGCCCACCUC